UCCUCGUAGUAUAACAAUUACUCUGGUCUUGUAAACCAAAAAUGAAGUACAAUUCUUCCUAGGACA
rnacentral:tRNA from 1 species